GAGCGAACGCUGGCGGCAGGCCUAACACAUGCAAGUCGAACGGACCCUUCGGGGUUAGUGGCGGACGGGUGAGUAACACGUGGGAACGUGCCUUUUGGUUCGGAAUAGCUCCUGGAAACGGGUGGUAAUGCCGAAUGUGCCCUUCGGGGGAAAGAUUUAUCGCCAUUAGAGCGGCCCGCGUCUGAUUAGCUAGUUGGUGAGGUAAAGGCUCACCAAGGCUACGAUCAGUAGCUGGUCUGAGAGAACGACCAGCCACACUGGGACUGAGACACGGCCCAGACUCCUACGGGAGGCAGCAGUGGGGAAUUUUGGACAAUGGGCGAAAGCCUGAUCCAGCAAUACCGCGUGCAGGAAGAAGGCCUUCGGGUUGUAACUGUCGUUUGUACGGUAGACG
rnacentral:rRNA from 1 species